UCCCUGGUGGCUCAGAGGUUAAAGCGUCUGCCUGCAACGCAGGAGAUCUGGGUUUGAUCCCUGGGUUGGGAA
rnacentral:tRNA from 1 species